rnacentral:lncRNA from 1 species
CAGGGCAAAGAUUUAUGUUUUGAUUUCUGUUCUUUAAAUCAGCACCUAAACAGAAGUGGCACUAGGGUGUUGCCCGCCAAAGUUCACCUUCUGGAAGCCCGGAAUAGGGUCAAAGGCCACACAUACAUCAGAGAAGCUGAACAGAGCAGCCCUGUCUUUCCAUAGUCCAUAGUUGGAAGUGUCAGGGAAGCAGAAGCCCAGUCAAUUUGGAGGAUUAGCCAGAGCAGGAAUGUUUUUGAAACAUACUCUAAGCACCUGCACUGGGCUGAGAUGAUGUCUUAAAAUCCACACUGAGGACAGGACAGAGCAGGGGACACAUGCAUCAAAAUGUCCUUAGACCCAUGACUGGGAGAUCGUAUGCCUGUAUGGUGAGAAGUGUCCAGGCACAAGUGAGAGGAGACAGCACUGUGUACCCUGAGCAUCCGAGGGGAGCCUCGAGGGGCCAGGUAGAAACAGAACAGAUGGCCUGUGUUCCCGUCAAGUACCUAGACUCACAGGCAAGUACUCCUAAGACUCUCGAACCAAUGAAGGAGACGCACGUACAUCCUUGCUCAGCCAGGCAGUCCCAGCGGCCUUCGGUUACAGGACGCUUCUGGAAAAGCAGCUCGCGGGAACUGAUUCCCCUCAUAAACAGACGAUUUGUCACGACGCUGGUUCUGUAAUAGCAUUACAAUGGAAACACCAGAUACAAAACAGAUCGGAUCAUUGUAAAAAACUCCUCAGCGUUCCAGGGGAAAUGAAUCAGAAGAUAUUUUUCUGUGGACUAAUAUCUGUGAAGGACCAGACUGCAGUCUCCAUGACAACUUGGUGUCCUACAAAGUGGCUUUGGGCCUUCAGACAGUGGAUGCUCACAGGUAUCACAUUUCAUCAUAUUUAAA